UACGUAGGUGGCAAGCGUUGUCCGGAGUUAUUGGGCGUAAAGCGCGCGCAGGCGGUGCGGUAAGUCUCUGGUGAAAGCGCUCGGCUUAACUGGGGGAGGGCCGGGGAGACUGCCACGCUGGAGGGGAGCAGAGGCGAGUGGAAUUCCGGGUGUAGUGGUGAAAUGCGUAGAGAUCCGGAGGAACACCAGUGGCGAAGGCGGCUCGCUGGGCUCUACCUGACGCUGAGGCGCGAAAGCGUGGGGAGCGAACCGG
rnacentral:rRNA from 1 species